rnacentral:rRNA from 1 species
AUUGAACGCUGGCGGCAGGCCUAACACAUGCAAGUCGAGCGGAUGAAGGGAGCUUGCUCCUGGAUUCAGCGGCGGACGGGUGAGUAAUGCCUAGGAAUCUGCCUGGUAGUGGGGGAUAACGUCCGGAAACGGGUGCUAAUACCGCAUACGUCCUGAGGGAGAAAGUGGGGGAUCUUCGGACCUCACGCUCUCAGAUGAGCCUAGGUCGGAUUAGCUAGUUGGUGGGGUAAAGGCCUACCAAGGCGACGAUCCGUAACUGGUCUGAGAGGAUGAUCAGUCACACUGGAACUGAGACACGGUCCAGACUCCUACGGGAGGCAGCAGUGGGGAAUAUUGGACAAUGGGCGAAAGCCUGAUCCAGCCAUGCCGCGUGUGUGAAGAAGGUCUUCGGAUCGUAAAGCACUGUAAGUUGGGAAGAAGGACAGUAAGUUAAUACCUGGCUAUUUUGACGUUACCAGCAGAAUAAGCACCGGCUAACUUCGUG